GUGGGGAAUCUUCCGCAAUGGACGAAAGUCUGACGGAGCAACGCCGCGUGAGUGAAGAAGGUUUUCGGGUCGUAAAGCUCUGUCAUCAGGGACGAACGGCCGGUGGAGUGGAAAGCCACCGGAUUGACGGUACCUGAGAAGGAAGCCACGGCUAACUACGUGCCAGCAGCCGCGGUAAUACGUAGGUGGCAAGCGUUGUCCGGAAUUAUUGGGCGUAAAGCGCGCGCAGGUGGGAUCUUAAGUCCAUUUUUAAAGUUCGGAGCUCAACUCCGUGAUGGGAUGGAAACUGGGAUUCUUGAGUACCGGAGAGGAAAGCGGAAUUCCCCGUGUAGCGGUGAAAUGCGUAGAUAUGGGGAGGAACACCAGUGGCGAAGGCGGCUUUCUGGACGGUGUCUGACACUGAGGCGCGAAAGCCAGGGGAGCGAACGGGAUUAGAAACCCUGGUAGUCC
rnacentral:rRNA from 1 species